UACAGAGGGUGCGAGCGUUGUCCGGAAUUACUGGGCGUAAAGGGCGCGUAGGCGGCUUGGGAAGUCGGGGGUGAAAGUCAGCGGCUCAACCGCUGGACUGCCUUCGAGACUGCCUGGCUUGAGCAUGGUAGAGGCUGGCGGAAUUCCCGGUGUAGCGGUGGAAUGCGUAGAGAUCGGGAAGAACAUCGGUGGCGAAGGCGGCCAGCUGGGCCAUUGCUGACGCUGAUGCGCGACAGCGUGGGGAGCAAACAGG
rnacentral:rRNA from 1 species